rnacentral:siRNA from 1 species
GAACAACCUGGCCAACUGCAGAAA